GCCCGGGUGGUGAAAUUGGUAAACACAGCGGACUUAAAAUCCGCCGGAGCAAUCCUUGACGGUUCAAGUCCGUUCCCGGGCACCA
rnacentral:tRNA from 2 species